rnacentral:rRNA from 1 species
GAGGCAAUAACAGGUCUGUGAUGCCCUUAGAUGUUCUGGGCUGCACGCGCGCUACAAUAAUUCGUUUAACGAGUAAUUCCCUUUUUAAGAAAAUUUGGUAAACUCAUUAAAAUGUGUUUUAUUUGGGAUUGAUCAUUGUAAUUAUUGGUCGUAAACAAGGAAUUCCUAGUAAGCAUAAGUCAUAAAGUUGUGCUGAUUUUGUCCCUGCCCUUUGUACACAUCGCCCGUCGCAUCAAUCGAUUGAGUGAUUCGGUAAAUGGUUCCGACUUAGCUAAAUUGAGAAUCCAAUUUUGUUGAGGAAGUUCUAUAAGCCCUGUCAUUUAGAGAAUGGUCAAGUCGUAACACGGUAUCCGUAGGUGAACCUGCGGA